rnacentral:ncRNA from 1 species
CAAGCGGCAUAAAAGCUGUCCGCUAGUGGGCUGGGAAUCACACUCCCAGCCCGCAACACUGUCAAAUUGCGGGAACAUCCUAAAGCCAACACUACCAAGCGGGCGCUGAAAGGCGUACGUGGCCGGGGUAAUGACCUAGGGUAUGGUAAAAACGUGUUGGAUCAUACAAUGGACAAUCCGCAGCCAAGCUCUAAGUCCGGUGUCACGACGCCGGAUAUGGGUGCAGUUCAACGACUAAAUGGUAGUGGGUUCUGCGAGAAACGCGUGCUGCGAACUUCUCCCGGGGCUUAAGAUAUAGUCUACUCCCACUCUGAAAGGAUGGG